GCCGAAAUAGCUCAGUUGGCAGAGCGACGCACUCGUAACGCGUAGGUCGUGGGUUCGAUUCCCACUUUCGGCUCCA
rnacentral:tRNA from 1 species